AGGGUUUGAUCCUGGCUCAGGAUGAACGCUAGCGGCACGCUUCAUACAUGCAAGUCGAGGGGCAGCAUAAAGUACUUGUACUUUGAUGGCGACCGGCGAACGGGUGCGUAACGCGUAUGCAACUUACCUUUUACUAGAGAAUAGCCAAGAGAAAUUUUGAUUAAUGCUCUAUACUCUUUUUAACUCACAUGAGUUUUUAAGAAAAGCUCCGGCGGUAAAAGAUGGGCAUGCGUCCUAUUAGCUUGUAGGUGAGGUAACGGCUCACCUAAGCUCCGAUAGGUAGGGGUCCUGAGAGGGAGAUCCCCCACACUGGUACUGAGACACGGACCAGACUUCUACGGAAGGCAGCAGUAAGGAAUAUUGGACAAUGGAGGAAACUCUGAUCCAGCGAUGCCGCGUGAAGGAGGACGGCCCUAUGGGUUGUAAACUUCUUUUAUACAGGAAGAAACCUUUCCACGUGUGGAAAGCUGACGGUACUGUAAGAAUAAGGAUCGGCUAACUCCGUGCCAGCC
rnacentral:rRNA from 1 species